CUGAGCCUGGUUCUGCCGGAGGUUUCUUCCUAUUAAAAGGGAGUUUUUCCUUCCCACUGUCGCCAAAGUGCUUGCUCAUAGGGGGUCACUUGAUUGUUGGGGUUUUCGCCACAAUACUGCAGGGUUUUCACCUUACAGUAUAAAGCGCUUUCACGCAACUUUUGUUGUGAACUGGCAUCAUAGAAAAAUUGGCAUAGAAACUGAAAUGAAUAAUUUCAUUUUUUGAAAUAAAAAUAGAGACAUCAACAUCAAAAAUAAAAAAUAAAAAAAUAAAUAAAAGUCUCUUUCAGAUUUUUUUUUAAUUUAGAUUUGUUUUCUGGAGAUUUUAAUUAGAAUCUUGGAGAAAUGACUUACAUAUCAAUACUUCUGAGGCUACAUGGAAGUCAAUUUGUGUAAAAUCACAAAAACAAUUGAUUAAUAGUAACCUCAAGCUAUUAGAUUACAACUGGAUCAUGCAAAUGUUACCUGCACCAGAUCUAGGGGAAUCUGGACCGGCAGCAAGCGGCACACAGGCUAGAGAGCACUGCGUAGCCAAGUAUGAGCAAACUGUGGAUUAAUAGAGAGGACACCGAAGUUAGCGUCUUGCUCAGGCCGGAGCUCAUUUAUUUCUCCACAUAUACACAAUACAAAUCACACUAGACCAUGCAUUCUUCCCAUAAAAUAACAUAGUUGAUAAACAAAUAAAGUUACAAAAAGCAUUCUCUCAAAAGCAAAAUAAAUACAAACUAAUUCAAAAUAACUUUACAUACUCACAACUUAAACAAAACACUCGCGGUUAAAGCAUAACAACAUACCGAAAUAACCCAUCUCACAUUCACACAACCUGUCCCCACAUUCGCGCCAUAUACGCUAUCACUUUUGAACAUGGCGUCCCCUGAACGCAACACAACAUGGCGGCAGACGACUCCAAACGUUGUUUCACCAACGAAAGCCUUUCCCCUUAAUACAUGUACUCAGUACUGCUUGGCUAACACUAAAACAAACAGUACAACACAUUUUCUGAAGUCGCAGGUUGCCACUGUCAUGGCAUAUACUUAUAGUGCUACGUAGCAUUAUAGCAUUAUGCCGAUUAGGGCUGCCACGAUUAGUCGACUAGUCACGAUUACGUCGACUAUUAAAAUCGUCGACGACUAAUUUAAUAGUCGACGCGUCGUUUGAAGCUUUGUAAGAUCCCAAAAGACGCAGGAAUAAGUAGUAGUAUUUAAGAGUGUAAUAACGGACUGAAACAGAAGAUGGCAGCACUGCAUGUACAAGGAUGCCAGCUGCCGUUAAACCCCGAAGAAGAAGAAACUGUGUUCCAGAAUUCAUAGCGCGGCCCAGCGCAGUUGUCAACAAUGGCGGCAGCUAGUUAGUUUUAAUAUUACAAUUAUUAUUCUUUCUGGGUCACAAAAUAAACGUUUAACAUAUUUUCAGGUGUACAUUUUACGUCCAAUGGAUGCAUGAUCUGAUUAGUCGACUAAUCGCAAAAAUAAUCGGUGACUAGUCGACUAUCAAAAUAAUCGUUUGUGGCAGCCCUAAUGCCGAUGAUACACUAAUACUCAUUACAACAAAAUACCACAAAACAACAUCAUCACAAUCAUCUCAAAAUAUAGCCGAACAGUUGUUACUCAACUUACAUGACAUUUAGAACCAGUUUGGUAACAUAAAAGUUUGUUUGUCAGUACCUGUGGAUUAAUAGAGAGGACACCGAAGUUAGCGUCUUGCUCAGGCCGGAGCUCAUUUAUUUCUGAGCUGCGCAUGCGCAGAGCCUAUCGCUAGAGUCUCUCUGGUAGUUCCACAGCAGUGCAAGAUCACCAUCUACUGGCAUAAUGAAA
ensembl:lncRNA